rnacentral:lncRNA from 1 species
ACGUCGGUUGGUGGCCCCGUCUGGGACCGAACCGGGCACCGCCUUGUGAAAAAAAAAGAAUAGAAUAUACCCUGUUAAAUCAGACAUGAUACUUGCUUUUGUGGAGCUUAUGCUUUAGUGCAGAAACAGAAAGUCAAGCAAAAACUCAAACUAUGUAACUUUAAAUUGGAUAUGUGCUAAUGAAGGAAAAUGUGGCACUGUAAGAAAAAAUAAUAGGGAGUUAAAGGAUAAAUAGGAAUUUGCUGGAUGAAAUUUAUGAAGGGCUGAAGAUUUCAAACAAAAGAAACUGAUGCAGAAGGGUGCAGCUUUGGAGUCAAGAAUGAAGUUCUAGGAGAUAAGAGAGCAAGGAAAUGGUGGGAGAGGAGGUCAAAGUUCUUUCCUCCAGCUCACUUUAUUGUAAGAAGCUUGGUGUCUGUAAUCGACUCGGAACCCUUGCUGCUCUUUCACUGAAUAUCGCUGUCUGGAGGUUACUUGGUACACUGGUCGACAAAACCUUGAAAUGUUGAUGUUUAAGGGCUGUUGAUUGCUGGCAACAAAGAAGUCCAACUGUGCUGGUACCCGAGAUAGCGUCUCCACAUUUUCUUCCAGGAUCAUCACCUUUGUUGUAAAUAGCUCCCACAUAGUGUGAACAGAAGUCAUAUGUUUUAGAUUUUCUGCCUUGGCACCCAGG